GCCUCGGUAGUGUAACUGGUUAACACGCGCCCCUCUGAAGGGUGAAACGCGGGUUCGAUUCCCGUCUGAAGUU